UGAGUAUGAAAGGUAAUCGCCAGUACGGCAGUAUUGGAGGAAAGUCCGAGCUCCGCAGGGCAGGAUGCCGGAUAACGUCCGGCGAAGGCGACUUCAGGGACAGUGCCACAGAAAUGUGUACCGCCACGCAAGUGGUAAGGGUGGAACGGUGCGGUAAGAGCGCACCAGCGAUAAGGUAACUUAUCGGCUAGGUAAACCCCAUCCGGAGCAAGACCGAAUAGGGAAGGGAUGAAGCGGCCCGCUGAUCUUCCGGGUUGUGUCGCUCGAACAGGCCGGUAACGGUCUGUCUAGAUAGAUGAUUACCGCUGCGCAGGCAGAACAAAACUCGGCUUAAUGAUUACUCAUCCU
rfam:Anaeroglobus geminatus F0357 genomic scaffold Scfld31, whole genome shotgun sequence.